GAUGAACGCUAGCGGCAGGCCUAAUACAUGCAAGUCAAGGGGCCAGCAAUGGCACCGGCGCACGGGUGCGUAACACGUGGAUAACCAACCCAUUGGUUUGGGACAGCGCCGGGAAACUGGUGCUAAUACCAGAUGUGUCGCAGCUGUCUUCAGGCGGUUGCGAGAAAGGCCCGCAAGGGUCGCCAACGGACGGGUCCGCGUCCCAUCAGCUAGUUGGUGAGGUAAUGGCUCACCAAGGCAAAGACGGGUAGCUGGUCUGAGAGGAUGAUCAGCCACACUGGAACUGAGACACGGUCCAGACUCCUACGGGAGGCAGCAGUGGGGAAUAUUGCGCAAUGGGCGAAAGCCUGACGCAGCCACGCCGCGUGAGCGAUGAAGGUCUUACGGGAUCGUAAAGCUCUGUGGGGGGANAAGAACGAAAGCCGGUGAAGAGCCGGCCCUGACGUAUCCCCUUAGCAAGCACCGGCUAACNCCGUGCCAGCAG
rnacentral:rRNA from 1 species